GACGACGCUGGCGGCGUGCCUAACACAUGCAAGUCGAACGGGGUUAAUUUGAAAGCUUGCUUUUGGAUUAACCUAGUGGCGGACGGGUGAGUAACGCGUGAGCAACCUGCCUAUCAGAGGGGGAUAACGUUUGGAAACGAACGCUAAUACCGCAUAAAGUAAAUAUGUCGCAUGGCAUAUAUACCAAAGGAGCAAUCCGCUGAUAGAUGGGCUCGCGUCCGAUUAGCUAGUUGGUGAGGUAAAGGCUCACCAAGGCAACGAUCGGUAGCCGGACUGAGAGGUUGGACGGCCACAUUGGGACUGAGACACGGCCCAGACUCCUACGGGAGGCAGCAGUGGGGGAUAUUGCACAAUGGGGGAAACCCUGAUGCAGCGACGCCGCGUGAGGGAAGAAGGUCUUCGGAUUGUAAACCUCUGUCUUUGGGGAAGAAACUGACGGUACCCAAAGAGGAAGCCACGGCUAACUACGUG
rnacentral:rRNA from 1 species